AGAGAGAGACAUGCGCGCAUAUCAAUAAGCGGAGGAAAAGAAACUAACAAGGAUUCCCUUAGUAACGGCGAGUGAAGCGGGAAGAGCUCAAAUUUGAAAUCUUCAAGGUUUUACCUUGACGAAUUGUAGUUUAAAGAGGUGUUUUCUGCUGAAGUUUUGGUAAAAGUUCUUUGGAAUAGGACAUCAUAGAGGGUGAGAAUCCCGUAUUUGACCAUUAUUUUCAGCUUUGUGAUACACUUUCAAAGAGUCGGAUUGUUUGGGAAUGCAGUCCAAAAUGGGUGGUAAAUUUCAUCUAAAGCUAAAUAUUGGCGAGAGACCGAUAGCGAACAAGUACCGUGAGGGUAAGAUGAAAAGAACUUUGAAAAGAGAGUUAAACAGUACGUGAAAUUGUCAAAAGGGAAGCGUUUGACACCAGUGUUGUUUUCUCGAAAAUCAAUUAAAAAUGGCUCGAUUUUGUAUUGCUGAGACCUUAAAAGCUCACUGUACAUUUUUCGUGUCUUUUUUAAUGCACUUUUCGUUUAACAAGUCAACAUCAGUUUCUUUUGUUGUAAAAGGGUCAUUGGAAGGUGGCUUUCUUUUCGGAGAAAGUGUUUAUAGCCUUUGGCCUCUGCAAUCGGAAGAGACUGAGGUCUGCAGCGUAGACUCUUCGGGGUUAGAUACAUUUGUGCUAAGUUAUAGCUUUUUAUAGACAACUUGUUGACUAUAAUUAGUCUUGUAGCUUACUCGCUUAUGCUAUUUUACCUACGCUUAGGAUGUUGAGUCGUAGAGCACGCAG
rnacentral:rRNA from 1 species